rnacentral:rRNA from 1 species
GAUGAACGCUAGCUACAGGCUUAACACAUGCAAGUCGAGGGGUAACGAGAGGAAGGCUUGCUUUCCUUGUCGACGACCGGCGCACGGGUGAGUAACGCGUAUCCAACCUGCCCCCAACUAGGGAAUAACCUUGCGAAAGUAAGACUAAUACCCUAUAAUUUCCUCAGAUGCCAUCUGACGAGGAAUAAAGAUUUAUCGGUUGUGGAUGGGGAUGCGUCUGAUUAGCUUGUUGGCGGGGUAACGGCCCACCAAGGCAACGAUCAGUAGGGGUUCUGAGAGGAAGGUCCCCCACAUUGGAACUGAGACACGGUCCAAACUCCUACGGGAGGCAGCAGUGAGGAAUAUUGGUCAAUGAGCGGAAGCCUGAACCAGCCAAGUAGCGUGCAGGAUGACGGCCCUAUGGGUUGUAAACUGCUUUUAUACAGGAAUAAAGUUAGCCACGUGUGGUUAUUUGUAGGUACUGUAUGAAUAAGGACCGGCUAAUUCCGUGCCAGCCGCCGCCGUAA